UGGGGAAUCUUCCGCAAUGGACGAAAGUCUGACGGAGCAACGCCGCGUGAGUGAAGACGGCCUUCGGGUUGUAAAGCUCUGUGAUUCGGGACGAAAGGCCAUAUGUGAAUAAUAUAUGGAAAUGACGGUACCGAAAAAGCAAGCCACGGCUAACUACGUGCCAGCAGCCGCGGUAAUACGUAGGUGGCAAGCGUUGUCCGGAAUUAUUGGGCGUAAAGCGCGCGCAGGCGGUCACUUAAGUCCAUCUUAGAAGUGCGGGGCUUAACCCCGUGAUGGGAUGGAAACUGGGAGACUGGAGUAUCGGAGAGGAAAGUGGAAUUCCUAGUGUAGCGGUGAAAUGCGUAGAUAUUUGGAAGAACACCGGUGGCGAAGGCGACUUUCUGGACGAAAACUGACGCUGAGGCGCGAAAGCGUGGGGAGCAAACAGG
rnacentral:rRNA from 1 species